AGAGACCUGGCUGGCCUCCAGAGGGGCCACCACAGUUCGGCCUGUCUCCUUUGCACUGGGGGAGAGCCCAGAGAAACGCCCGUGUGCCCAGGAUCCUGGUCUCCCUCACCGAUGCCUGCUUUCACACCCCUGGCCUGGCUGGCUCUUACUGCAUUCAUUCCCUGGCAGAGACGGGCUGGAUCAGAAGGCUUGGGAGAUAAGCAGAGGCUCUGGAGUUGGAAAUGUGGGCAGCAACGGGCAUGCUGACGUCAGUGACCCAAUUUGUCAAGGCCCUGUCAAUGGUGUAUCUAACGUGCAGGAUAAUCCUGUGUCAAGCCAACCCGACACCCGCAACCAAGCAUGCCUGGCACCUGUCCCCAAGACUCAGCAGGCACAACACAGUUCUCUCCACAGAGCACUCCUUGGCUUUCUUGGGUUUCUUUUUAACAGCCCUAUAUUCAAGCAGUGUGUGUGUGUGCGUUUUUCCCCCUUUUAAUAUUUUUGUGCUAUUUAUAGUGACCAGUUAAUCACCAGGGUGGGUAAAAGUACUGAAGAUGAGAAGCGGCGCGGGCUGGCUUAGGGGCAGGCAUGCUCCGGAAGGGAAGAAAGCCUGUUUUCUCCAACCAUCCAUAAGAAAGUUAAUCAACCAAUAAGCCGGCCAUGUGCUCAGUGCAGGGCAAGAAAGUAGGAAGGGCAAGAGAGUUUAAGGAUGACAGGCAGAUCUGGGUACAGGGCCUGGGCCAGCUGUGUGACACUGGCCAAGUCAGUGAACCUCUCUGAGCUUCGCUUUGAAAGUUUCCUUAAUGUAAAAUGGGGGUUCUACUAAAAGCCACUUUACAGGAUUCCAGGAAGGGUUAGCAGUAAUGUAUGUCAGCUCCUAGCAGAGCACCUGAUGUGUGGUUGGAGCUUAAUAAACACUGGUGAUUAUAAUAACAGUGGUCCUGCCUGGCUCCUUCCCUUAAGAGGCUUGUAAUUAAUUGAGCUAGAAAGAGCAGAAGGCACGUGAGUGCCAAGGGGGUGGUGAGGUCUUUAGAAGAGUUCAGGGUGGGUGCCGGCUCGGCCAGGGAUGCAGGAGACGAGUACUUCUCAAUCUAGAAUGUGCACACGAACCACCAGGGAUUGGUUAAAAAUGCAGGCUCCAAUAUGUCUCCCCCAGAGAUCCUGGCUCAGUCAGAAAGGGUGGUCCCACAGCGUUGGCCACGUGGUUCUCACUUAGCCAGCAGGGCCCCACGCUGCACAUUAAUGUUUGGGAACCAAUGAAUCAGGUGAUGCUGACCUACAGAAUGGUUUAACCUAAGUAAUAGCAUGAUCAAAUUAAUGUUUUAGAAAGUGAAAUCUGAGAGUCCUAUAGAGCUGUGCUUCUCAAACUGCAAUGGGUCUGGGGAUCUCCUGGGGACCUGGUUAAAAUGCAGGUUUGGAGCCAGCAGGUCUGGAUUGGGGCCUGAGACUCUGCAUUUCUGAUAAGCUCGCAGGCAAUGCCAGUGCUGCUGGUCCAAGAACUACACUAGAAGAAUAUCUCAUGUCCUAUAUUCCAUUUGUUUGCAUUUCUCUUCUUUUCUUGGCACAGUGUGAUUCUGGAGCUGUUCCUGCUCCUUUCUCUGUGGGCUAACUAAUGGAAUGCUGGUGCUUCUCCUUGAGAAUACAGCGAGUGGAAAGCAAUCUCAAAAGUCAGGUUCGGUGGCUCACGCCUGUAAUCCCAGCACUUUGGGAGGCUGAGGUGGGCAGAUCACCUGAAGUCAGGAGUUCAAGACCAGCCUGGCCAACAUGGUGAAACACCGUCUCUAUUAAAAAUACAAAAAUUAGCCAGGUGUGGUGGCACCUGUAAUUCCAGCUACUUGGGAGGCUGAGGCAGGAGAAUCGCUUGAACCUGGGAGGCAGAGGUUGCAGUGAGCUGAGAUCGUGCCACUGCACUCCAGCCUGGGUGACAAGAGCAAAACUCCAUCUCAAAUAAAUAAAUAAAACAAAAAUCUGU
rnacentral:antisense_RNA from 1 species